rnacentral:tRNA from 2 species
GCCCAGGUAGCUCAGUUGGUAGAGCAGCGGACUGAAAAUCCGCGUGUCGCUGGUUCAAUUCCGGCCCUGGGCACCA